UGCGUAGGUGGCACAAUAAGUCAGAGGUGAAAGCCCGGCGCUCAACGUCGGAAUUGCCCCUGAUACUGUUGUGCUUGAAUCAGGUUGAGGUAGGCGGAAUGUGGCAUGUAGCGGUGAAAUGCAUAGAUAUGCCAUAGAACACCAAUUGCGAAGGCAGCUUACUGGACCUCGAUUGACACUGAGGCACGAAAGCGUGGGGAGCGAACAGGAUUAGAUACCCUGGUAGUCC
rnacentral:rRNA from 1 species